rnacentral:lncRNA from 1 species
AAUCGCAGGUAUGCGGAUCGCCCACGUGACCUCCCUCGUGGCACCACGUCAGCAUCCAUUACUACACGGCAUGUUCUGGUUCGUCGAGACUGCUGACCGGGCAUCCUACAUGGCACAAAUUUUUUAAAUUGUAUUUUGAUCCAUAUUUUCGAUUUUUCUUUAAAAAAUGCUCUUAAAACCCAAAUUUUCACCAUUUUUCCCC